UAGUCCACGCCGUAAACGAUGGAUACUAGCUGUGCGGUUUUCGGACUGUGCGGCCAAGCGAAAGUGAUAAGUAUCCCACCUGGGGAGUACGUUCGCAAGAAUGAAACUCAAAGGAAUUGACGGGGGCCCGCACAAGCGGUGGAGCAUGUGGUUUAAUUCGAUGAUACGCGAGGAACCUUACCAGGGCUUAAAUGUAGAUUGACAGGUUUAGAGAUAGACUUUUCUUCGGACAAUUUACAAGGUGCUGCAUGGUUGUCGUCAGCUCGUGCCGUGAGGUGUCAGGCUAAGUCCUAUAACGAGCGCAACCCCUGCCGUUAGUUGCCAGCAUUUAAAGAUGGGGACUCUAACGGGACUGCCGGUGCAAACCGCGAGGAAGUGGGGACGACGUCAAAUCAUCACGGCCCUUACGUCCUGGGCUACACACGUGCUACAAUGGUCGUGACAAAGAGUUGCUAGUCUGCGAAGGCAAGCCAAUCUCAUAAAACGCGGCCUUAGUUCGGAUUGCAGGCUGAAACUCG
rnacentral:rRNA from 1 species